rnacentral:rRNA from 1 species
UAGUGGCGAACGGGUGAGUAACACGUGGGCAAUCUGCCCUUCACUCUGGGACAAGCCCUGGAAACGGGGUCUAAUACCGGAUAUCACUCCUGCAGGCAUCUGCGGGAGUCGAAAGCUCCGGCGGUGAAGGAUGAGCCCGCGGCCUAUCAGCUUGUUGGUGAGGUAAUGGCUCACCAAGGCGACGACGGGUAGCCGGCCUGAGAGGGCGACCGGCCACACUGGGACUGAGACACGGCCCAGACUCCUACGGGAGGCAGCAGUGGGGAAUAUUGCACAAUGGGCGAAAGCCUGAUGCAGCGACGCCGCGUGAGGGAUGACGGCCUUCGGGUUGUAAACCUCUUUCAGCAGGGAAGAAGCGAAAGUGACGGUACCUGCAGAAGAAGCGCCGGCUAACUACGUGCCAGCAGCCGCGGUAAUACGUAGGGCGCAAGCGUUGUCCGGAAUUAUUGGGCGUAAAGAGCUCGUAGGCGGCUUGUCACGUCGGGUGUGAAAGCCCGGGGCUUAACCCCGGGUCUGCAUUCGAUACGGGCUAGCUAGAGUGUGGUAGGGGAGAUCGGAAUUCCUGGUG